GACGAACGCUGGCGGCGUGCCUAAUACAUGCAAGUCGAGCGGACCAAAGGGAGCUUGCUCCUGGAGGUUAGCGGCGAACGGGUGAGUAACACGUGGGCAACCUGCCUGUAAGACUGGGAUAACAUCGAGAAAUCGGUGCUAAUACCGGAUAAUAAAAAGAACUGCAUGGUUCUUUUUGAAAGAUGGUUUCGGCUAUCACUUACAGAUGGGCCCGCGGCGCAUUAGCUAGUUGGUGAGGUAACGGCUCACCAAGGCAACGAUGCGUAGCCGACCUGAGAGGGUGAUCGGCCACACUGGGACUGAGACACGGCCCAGACUCCUACGGGAGGCAGCAGUAGGGAAUCUUCCGCAAUGGACGAAAGUCUGACGGAGCAACGCCGCGUGAGUGAUGAAGGUUUUCGGAUCGUAAAACUCUGUUGUUAGGGAAGAACAAGUGCCGUUCGAAAGGGCGGCACCUUGACGGUACCUAACGAGAAAGCCACGGCUAACUACGUGCCAGCAGCCGCGG
rnacentral:rRNA from 1 species